AUGGCGUAUAAAAGGCUCUACUCAUUGAACGGCUUUGUUUGUGAAGCUUUCAAUUACUAUCAUCUUCACCAGCAUUGUUUCUUUUGACUCCUCCCUAUACAUACCUCAAGAUCCCUCUUCAAGAAAUGAAGCUUUUCAGCCUUUUCCUUGUGGCCAUCCUCCUUCUACAGGUUUUCACAGAGGCAUUGUCCAUCAGUGGCACCACCACUCCUCAGACCCAUCAGGUCGUUCAUCUAGGUUGCCAGUGGACCAAUCUUUGACGUAUACCAUGUGGCUGCAAAUGCCCGACAUCGACUACACGCAGCCUCGACUCUUGACGAGACAACGUCCAAGACAAAUUAUUAGGGAGAUGGGCUAACACUCUGAUUUUGCUCAGGAGACCAUUUUAAAAGAGAAAGAAAAAAAUGCAUGUUUUCAAACGUAUAACUUGAUCCAGUAUAAAUAUAAAUAAGAAAACUAAUCAACAGACCACCCGUGCUUUAAAAAGAAAAUCAUUAUCUAGUUCCUGCUAAUUCUGAUUUUGAUAUGUUACCUUUUCAUGCAGGUGGAUGGUCGGUCUAAACGUCCAAAAAUUAAUUGCAGCUAUGCAUGCUCGAGAAGAUGUAGCAAGGCAUCAAGAAAGAAUGUUUGCACUAGAACGUGCAAGGCCUGCUGUGCAAGGUGCAACUGUGUUCCACCAGGAACUUAUGGAAACAAGGAACUUUGUCCCUGCUAUGCCAGAUUGAAGACCCGAGGGAACAAGCCCAAGUGCCCUUGAGCCUUGAAUGCUCCCUUUCUGUAUAAUCAAUAGUAAUAAUAAUCAUUGCUUUUCCUGUGUGUGGAAGUAUCAAAGAAUAGCCCCCAAAAAAAAAGUAUCAAAGAAUAAAUUCAGAUGAGUGAUUGCAUUUUCUUGGCGCUUGGUGGUCAGGGUAACUGUUGAGUAUUGCUUAUUAGAUAUUGAUGAUAUUGAACAUGCCCAUAGAAAAAAAAAAUUCCAGUGAGAGGUCUCUGUUGUUGUCCAUGAAUGUUUUAUGUAAAUUAGCAAAACUUCCUAUCCUUUAGCUGAGAUAACUCAAAUAAAACUUUAAAGUUAAGGGACCA